rnacentral:piRNA from 1 species
UGACACUGCUAAAAUGAAGCCUUAAAUGUGU